rnacentral:pre_miRNA from 1 species
AUUCUACUCCCUCCGUUGCACAAUACAUGCCUUCUAUUUGUCAAAAUAUAUAUGUAUCUAGACAUGUUUUAGUAUAUAGGUACAUCCAUUUUUGGACAAAUGGAAGUAAAGUAUUUUGGAACGGAGGGAGUACACA